UCCUGCCUCUCAGGUUUGUUUGUUUUAGGAUUGUUACCCCAGGAUGGAGGGGAGCACGGGGCUCUACGCCUCACAGGGUGGUGGUGUGCCGCGGCGGGCAUGCAGCCAUAGAGUGACUUUAUAAAGGCCUAACCCGCGUCCCCCAGGUUCUCUUCGCAGUGCUGAGUCCAUCCCCCUACAGGAGCUAACAGCUGGCUUGCAGCCCCUAAAUUAUGUGGUCGAGCCGGAUCAGCCCUUUCAACCCGCAAUCCAUUGGUGGAUUGUCUUCGCCAUUGUCGUGAUCCUGGUUCUUCUGCUGGUGACGUCUGCCGUGGGGUAUUCCUAUGUCCUACGCUACGCACGACGCCGCCUAAUUCCAGACUCGAACCAACUGCAGACAUUGCAAGGCGUAUCUUCUCCACCAACACCUGUGAGAUCUCAGGGGCGAGAUC